rnacentral:lncRNA from 1 species
GCCAAUAGAUAUAAAAGCAAAAACAGUCAUCGUUAAUGCAUUUAUACUUGUGAGUCGAAGUGUUUGGACAUUCUUUAUCAGUCUUACAUGGCAUACCCGCUGUAAUGAAUAAAAUAGAAUAAAAUAAUGUUAAUAAAACGAUAUAAAAGAGUGUGAAUAGAUAAUUACAUACAAUACUAAAGAAUCCUUCACAAAACAAAAUUCAGUACUAAAGAAUGAAAUUUUAAAAGGAUUAUAAAAGUUGCUUACUGGCAAAACUUUCUGCAACAAGGAAUAGGGAAAGAAAUAAAAUCAUAAUACAUAUAAAUUUGAGAGUUUUAGUCAUAUUUUUCUCCCUUUACAUGUAACAAAUGGAAUAUGAUUUGAUUAUUUUAUAGUGUAUAAAGCGCGAGUUGUACAAAAAACAAUUAAAUAAAUUUUAUUUUUUUAGGUCUUAGAUGAAGUGGUAAUCCACUGAAAAUAAACUCACACACAACUGUGAGGUCCCGGGUUCGAACCCGGGUCAUGACGUCCGGCCUUGCAAUUUCGGCAUUUGCCAGUUGAGCUAGGACUUCUAGACAAUUAAAUAAUUUUAUACAUAAAGGAGUUCUAAAAAGCUUUUCUAAAAUUAGAAUGAUUAUUAUGAAAUGUAAAAAUAUUGCUAAUCAAAUUAGAAUCCGUUAUUAUUUUAAUUUACUAAUCAACCUUUGAUGAUAGAAAGAGGGCAUAUGGGAAAUUUCUUUUUUACUGUAUUAUAUAGUAUUUUUUAUCAGCAUUGCUAUUUUAAGCGAGAGAUAUUAUCAAUUAUCACGAAGGUACCAAAUCAUUUGGUACCAUUGGAUCUCAUGGGUUACCGGAAAACAUGGGUGAGAUGGAAAUAAACAUAAUGGCCAAUUAGUUAAUACACCUCAUUUUUUAUAAGUUCGGGACAAAUCCUUCGCUAUAUUGAUAACAUUAAUGAGGGAUGUAUUUGAAAAAAGAGUAACAAAUGCAUCUAGAAAUUGGUAGAUGGUCUUAUAUUUAACAAUAAUUUUUUUUUGUAAAGUAGUCUUAUAAAAAUGGACGUAGGGAGUAGGCGAUAAGAUUUCUAUACCUAGAGUAACUUCUUCCUAUAAAAGGCUUCCUUUCAAUUUUCAGCGGAGACAAUUCCCGUUAGUUGUUUCAUUCGCAAUGCGUAUUAAUAAAAGUUAAGGAUAAUCACUUGAACAUGUUGUAAUAUAUCUUUCUACAUUAGUGUUCUCCCAUGGUCAAUUAGAUGUUACAAUUUCAGGAGUUAUUUUGAGACAUGGACUAAACAUUUUGUUGAUUGAUAAAGAUGGCGAAGAUACCACUAUCACUUUGAACAUUGUUUAUCAUAAAGUUUUCCGAAAUAUAUGAUGUUUUCAUUAUAUUUAUAACUUUAUAUUAUAUAUGGUUGUUUCUAUUGUAACGGAUAACUAUGUUUUGUGUUUUAUCAUGUGUUUUUAUAAAUUAUUUUUCAUUAUAUUUAUGAAAGUUUCUUUAGUAAGGCAUUGGUAAACAUAAUAUAGUAAAUAUGACUCAUGCAUCACACGGGUUGAAAAUAGUGUUCCAUAAAUCGAGUGUUAACUCGUAAAUUCGUUUGUAUUUACGUUUUUAGGUGUCAAAAAUGUAUUAAUUCGGAGAUAAAUUUGGUUUUUGUGAAAUCAGAAUGUAUGACGAGUUUGACCGAGUUAACACGUGUUAAACUUGGUAAACUCGUGUAAACUUGAAUAAAUUGACCGAGUUUACGUUUAAAAAAACAAUUUUUUUGGGCCAUUUUUUUGGGUCAAUUUUCUUUCAAAACCCAAUUCUUUUUUCAAGGUCAAGGUACUUAAAUUAAUUUUGAAUUGAGUUCAAGCCAUGUAUUUGGUUUUAAUAUUGAAAACCAUUUAUCACCUGGAGAAGAAAACACCGAUGAUAAUGAUAUUGUGGAACUUUAGAAGGAUUGAACUUUUGAAAAAAUUAACUUGUUUAUUUUUUGGAUAGGUUUAUUAACUUUUGAAAUUUGGUUUUUCGGAUGGUUUAAAGUCUUAUGAAACUUCUGAUUUUGCAAAUUAAUUUUGUAUUUUGAUUAUAAGUAAAAACAAUUUUUUUUUACUAAAGCGGCACUUAUUUUAAAACAAACGGAUGGAGUAUUAAACUUUACUUACCUUCUUUCUACCUUCUGAUCGAAUUCUAACUUACUACAGCCACGUUCCCUUGAAUACCGAAGGGUUAAAAAUAACCGAGUUUUGAAAAAGCAUGGUAACUUUUGGCUUCAAUGAAGAGAAAAUAUAUAAUGUAUGUAAGCAUUCGUUAUAGUUAUAUUUUUUAUGUUAAAGAGAGACAAAUGUGCUUCCACACAUGAAGUAACUUUUGUUUUUACGAGAAGCCGUCCACCGUUGGCUUUUGGUAUGUACUCUCCUUCUACCAAAAAAAAAUAUACAAGUGUAUGAUGUACUCUCUCAAAUUAUGUAACAUAUUUAUUAGUAUUUUUUCUGUCUCAAAUUAUAAUAUAUAUUUUUUGCAUUAUACUAAUACAACAUUUAUUUAUUUUCAUCAAUAUACAUUUACUUAUUUUAUUUUAGUAA